rnacentral:rRNA from 1 species
AGUGAACGCUGGCGGUAGGCCUAACACAUGCAAGUCGAACGGCAGCACAGUAAGAGCUUGCUCUUACGGGUGGCGAGUGGCGGACGGGUGAGGAAUACAUCGGAAUCUACUUUUUCGUGGGGGAUAACGUAGGGAAACUUACGCUAAUACCGCAUACGACCUACGGGUGAAAGCAGGGGAUCUUCGGACCUUGCGCGAUUGAAUGAGCCGAUGUCGGAUUAGCUAGUUGGCGGGGUAAAGGCCCACCAAGGCGACGAUCCGUAGCUGGUCUGAGAGGAUGAUCAGCCAAACUGGAACAGAGACACGGUCCAGACUCCUACGGGAGGCAGCAGUGGGGAAUAUUGGACAAUGGGCGCAAGCCUGAUCCAGCCAUACCGCGUAGGUGAAGAAGGCCUUCGGGUUGUAAAGCCCUUUUGUUGGGAAAGAAAAGCAGCAGGUUAAUACCCCGCUGUUCUGACGGUACCCAAAGAAUAAGCACCGGCUAACUUCGUG